rnacentral:lncRNA from 1 species
GUUUCGUCUAAAAGGUAGAUUUUAUUCUUUAUUUAUAAAUAACAUAUAUGGCCUAGAUUUGUUACGCAGUAUAAAUAUCAAAUUUAAAUGUUACCAGAGACAUUAUAUGUGAUAUGUCUAACCAAGGAUUUGUAUAGUAAGACUAUACAAAUCCUUGGUCUAACUGAAUCGGAAAUUUCCGAAUGUCAAUUUUAGUUUAUUGUCUGUCGAAAACUUGUAAUCACUUUAUAUGGGGACGAAGUCCCCAAUUACGGUAGAAAAAUCAAUUAAAAAAAAAAAAAAAAAAAAAUCGGGAAAAUUUCCCGAAUUUUUCAUUCUCGACUCCUAGGAGUCGAGAUUAAGAAUUGAACGAUGGACAGUUAGGGCGUGAAUUUGUCUUGCUACCUGAUUGGAAGAUAUUACAAGACGUGAAUAAUCAAAAUUUAUUGAUUGGUUAGGACAAUCCAAACCAAGUAAAUGUCCUUCAAUCCCGUAGAGUAUCGGAUUUGUCCUCUCUAUUUUAGCAUUUAGAAUUUACACAGGUAACCUUUAUCUAUAAAUAGUCGAAUCUUCUGGAGUAAACAACAAGUAAUAGCUUUUCUAAAAAGCUAAGUCAGUGUUCUCCCCAGGCCGUUUUAGCGUCGCGGUACCGCGACGCUAUAUUUUUUCACCGUGAUGCUAUAAUAAUUCCCGCGACGCUAUAAUUAUUCCCGCGACGCCAUAAUUAUUUUGAAGAUGCUAAUACUUGUCCUCAAUUUUGAACUUUCAUCUAUUAUCGAUUAUGAUCAUAAAAAUUAUAUCACCUUUAAUUGUAAUCCCUUUAAGUCGGACACUAAAGGCAAUUAGAGAUUAAAUAGCUAGGUGUUAAUUGCCCUCAGGGUGAUAACUGUUUGGAUGCGAAUAUCCCAAGCUGACACUUGUGACAUGACUAAUACCACGUGUCUGCAAUCACAAAACAAUUCGAAAUCUACGUUUUGUAUUACGAAAUUUCAAAGAUUGAAACGAUUUUUUUUUUUUUUUUAAAAAGGUCGUUUAUUUGUGCAACUCUCCAAAUAUUUCUUUCUCUUCCGGUAAUACGAGAGCGAGAAUUUUGGUUUAGAGCUAAAAUAAGUUUAAUACUUUUUUAAAAAGUUAUCAUAAUUGGCUUAAGUGUAUGUUUAAUCCAUUUAAUGCAUUAAAAGCGUCUUAUUCAUUCACAAUCUCUUGUCAAACAAUGUUUAUUCUCGGACUCAUUUUCGUAAAUUUUACUACGGCCGCCAUUGCACAUUUGUGUGUAAACUACGGAUCGGAACCGGACUAGAUAUGACAAAAAUCCGCAUUUUCACGAUAAUGACAACAGAUUGACAGUAGACAGAAAAAAUAAACCAAGAGAGAAAACUACGCAUUAACAGACUAUUUGUUAGAUAACUUUGUUAAAAAUACAUAUGAUUUUGAUGUAAAGAUAAGAAACAACUGGGACUAAUUCAUUGAGUGGCAUGAAACCAUGAAUGUCAUAAACAUGAUAAAAAAAAGUUUUUAAAUUGAUUUUUUUUUGCUUCUUUUGCUACUUUAUCUUUACUUGAUAUAAUAUAAAAAGUAGUUAAUUUUGUGUACUAGAUAAUUUAGUUUUGUAUAUAUACAGGUUGCACUAUAAUGAACCAUUCAUUCAUUUGACUUAUUGUUGGGUAACUGAAACCACAUAUUUAUUUUUAUUUGGCAAAAGAGGAAAAAAAUAAUUCUGUACUAUAAAUGAAAAAAGAAGACAUAAACUGAAACAACUGUUUUUGUGGUUAUAGUUUAAUUAUAUUCUCAGUUAUGAAUUGAACAAUAUAAACUAAAACAUAUAAACGAAAUAGAGCAUCAACGCGAAGCGACAAACGACAUUAAAAAAAAUACAGUUAUUUUUUUUUAAUGCAAAAUGUGAUGCUAUCCAAAAUUUCUGGGAAGGACACUGAGCUUGCCGUAUUUUAGCUGAUUAUAUUGAGGGUUUAGAAGUAUUAUAGGUUUUUUUUUUUUUGGAAUAUUGCACUCCAAGCAAUAUGAAUGCAUAGCGCUUUUUUCUACUAAUUUGUGAUUUUAGUUGUAUUAUUGGUGGACCAGAGUUAUAAUGGAAGGAGACUUAAUAAUAAUUGAGAAUGGAAAUUGGGAAUGAUAUUAUAAUAAAACGCAUACUGUGUCUAUAACCAACUUGAUAAAAAAAGCAUUAUAAAAUACAUGUACUUUUGAGGAUUACAACUUGACAAAAUGGACUUCUACAGAAGGUCUUUCAAAUUUGAGAAUGUUACAUCUUAUAUCUUCAUGUAUAGAAGUGAUUGAUAUCUGAUCUGACUUUUGUCUUAGAAAAUGCAAUUAGUUUUGACUGUACAAGUGUUGUUAUUACUAAUUUUGAGAUGUAAUAAUACUUGAAAAAGAUGUUUUUAUGGGAAUUGGAAUGAAAUGGUAAUUGCAAAUAAUUUUCUUCAACAUGUUGUCACCUGCCUUCAUAUAUGUUUUAAUAUAUCACUUUGUGAUUUGUAAUCUUGACAAUUAUUUUUUGAAGUUCCAGUGGCGGAUUCAGGGGGGGGGGGGGGGGGGGGUCCGUGUUGGAAGUCCACCUUUUUUCGGCCGAUCAAUGAAUUUGAAAUGGGGCUUAUAGUUGGAAGCCCUCCCCCUUUUGUCCUGGGUUGGAACCUCCCCUUUUAAAAUGGCUGAAUCUGCCACGAGACCUGAAAAUGAGAGCUUCAUAUUAGUAUUAGCCUGUUAUAGUGUUUUAUAUUUGGUUGCAUGUGUUAUCAAGCUUUUGUGACAUUGAAUAUUUAUAUUUUCAUUUCUAAUGGCAAAAAUUUCAUGUAAUACAUAUUGUCAGGAUUAUUAGUUAGUUUUACUUGUUAAUGUUUAUUGUCAUAAUCGGAAAGUGAGUGGCAGAUCCAGAAAUUUUCCUAAGUGGAGACAGGCUCUCACGUGUGUGGUAAAAUUUGUUCAUUGAUGCACGUGGCUAUUCUAGUAAAUGAAUUAAUCUACAAAUCUCUGAUUUACCUGUUUGAACAUUUCGCGAGAGUUCAUAUUUGCAUAUUGUUAUAAAGAAUCCUAUUACAACAAAGCAGAUUACAUCAUCUAAAAUUUGCGUUACGAAAUUGGAAACCAAAGUAACGCUAGUGUUCUUACACCUGCUACAGAAAUACUUAUAGUUCUCGGCAUUUUCUUCUGACUAUUCUUAUUGGUCGAUGUUCUUUAUUAUUUGAAAAGCAAAAGUUACGAAUUUGCCGGUGACAAUUAUCUAUAAAUCAGUCAGCGUUAUGCACUUCGGAAGCGAAAAGUAACGCGAGAAACGACACAAAAAUACGGUCGUAUAAUCUUUGAAAUUUGUUAAUUUCAAUUUUUUUCUAGGGAAGAGUAGCAUACACUUGUAUGUUGAUAAACAUAUAGGCAUCUUUAGAUGUAGUUACAACUUUUCUUACAGUAAUACAUAUUUUUAUUACUUUUCUAUAGUUAUAGGAAACGAGCCCAAUAGCAAAUUAUGGUCCAUAUUUGGUAUGUGCAUAUCUUGCAAGGUCCUCAUGCCAGUUUUCACUUGACCUCGACCUCAUUUCAUGGAUCAGUAAACAAGGUUAAGUUUUGGUGGUCAAGUCAAUAUCUCAGAUACUAUAAGCAAUAGGUCUAGCAUAUUUGGCGUAUGGAACGAUUGUAAGGUGUACAUGUCCAACUGGCAGGUGUCAUCUGACCUUGACCUUAUUUUCAUGGUUCAGUGGUUAUAGUUAAGUUUUUGUGCUUUGGUCAGUUUUUCUUAUACCGGCUGUAUGAAAUAGAUGUAUGGAAUGAUUGUAAGGUGUACAUGUCUAGCUGGCAGGUGUCAUCUGACCUUUACCUCAUUUUCAUGGUUCAGCACUUGGUAAAAGUUAAAUUUUUGAGUUUUGGUCUUUUUAUCUAAUACUAUAUGCAAUAGGUCAACUAUAUUUGGUAUAUGGAAAUGUUUUAUGAUCUAUAUGUCAGUCGCACAGGUUUUAUUUGACCUUGACCUCAUUUUUACGGUUCAUUGCUUAGUGUUAUAUAUUUGUGAUUUGGUCUGUUUUUCUUAAACUAUAAGCAAAUAAUUAGGUUAAUUAUAUUUGUUGUACAGAAAGAUUGCAAGCUGUACAUGUCUGCUUGGCAUGUUUCAUCUGACCUUGACCUCAUUUUCAUGGUUCAUUAGUCAAUAUUUAGUUUUCUGGUUGAGUGUCUAUUAGAAACUAAGCAAUAGGUCAACUAUAUUUAGUGUAUUGAAUGAUAGUAAGGUGUACAUGUAUUUCUUGUUUGGUUUAUAUGAUAUUGACCUUAAUUUCUUGGAUCAUGUUAAGUUUAUGUGAUAGUUAGUAGUAAAGCUUUAUAUUUAGGACUAUCAUCAUGGUAUCAAUGAUAAUGUAGUAAAGAAGGUGAGACAUUUCAGUGUGUGCACUCUUAUCUUGAUUAAGUCUGUUUCUUAGACUAUAAGCAGUUUGUUUACUAUAUUUGGUAUAUAAAUUGAUUGUAAAGUGUACAUGUAUUUCUUGUUUGGUUUAUCUGACCUUGACCUCAUUUUCUUGGGUCAUGUUAAGUUUAUGUAAUAUUUGUAUAGAUUUAUUAUAAUUGAAAACACUGUCUCACAGUAAGAAUUGAUGUUUGACUGAACUUAAUUAGCUUCAUCAAGCUUUGAAAGAAUGUCGAUAACGUUGUUUUUGUUUUUUUUGCAAUGUAAAAUGUCCUCUUUUAUCUCUGCCAUUGCUCCCAUUGCUAUUGCCUGGUAGUUCAUCAGAAGAUAGCUGGUACUAUGAGAGUUGACCCAAACCAUGGCUUUCUUUUACAUUUUAUUUUUUUUCAAUGGGGCGUUUUGUUGACUUAUUUUGCUGAUUUUUUUUGCGUUUUCAUAUAAAAUUGAUGUUUUUUAGUAUAAAUUUUUGCAUUUGUUAGUUGAAAAUCAUUAAAUAUCUUAUCCUGUUUUCCUUAACAUUAGUCAAAUGAUAUGAAUUUUUGCAGAUGUCUCUAUUUGUUAGUUUUAUCUUCUCACAUUGAUGGAUUUCAAAAGCAGACAUAGGUAUACUGUUUCUGCAUCAACUAUGUAUUAGUUUUGGAUUAGGUCAGUUUAUAAUAACUCUAUUUAUUUCAAUAUUUACGAUAUUUAUUUCAUUGAGCUAAUUUAUGUGUAUGCAUUCUCUUAGGGAGCUACCAUUUGAUUUUUAUGGGGGGGGCUAGGAUGAAAAAUUUUGUCCUGCAUUUUUUUUUAGUUGUAAUCUCUGUCCUGCCUUUUUAUUUUUUCACUCUAUUCGGUCCUGCCUUUUUUUUUAUUAGUUUAUCCUGACUUUUUUUACCUAAAUUGUCAUCCUGCCUUUUUUUUUGGCAAAGUGUCUCAUCCUGCUUUUUUUUUUUACUCAAAACUCCUGUUUUUUCAAAUUUCAUCCUAGCCCCCCCAUAAAAAUCAAAUGGUAGCUCCCUUAAUCUUGUUUCUUAUAUGUACAAAAUUUUGAUAAACAUUUUUUUUUUCAGCAUUUUUCUUUAAAAGGAUAACAUAACUUAAAGAAAUUCAAAACUUAUCCAAAUAACAUUAACCAUAGCCAUGCUUACAUCAAUUAACGACAACUUUUUACUUUUUCAAAAAAACUGGUAAUGAUGUUGGAUGCCAUUUCUUUUAACAAAACAUUGUAACAGCAUGGAUCCCUGUAAGCACACUAAACUUCUAAGUGUAUCCUAUGUCAUAGACCAUAUAUAUUACAAUGUAAUAUAUUUUUACAAAUUUGAAGAACAUUUUGAUUGAAAAUAAUUUUACUCAUCUCUUAUGCUCUGCAGAUUCUAUACAUUGCACCUGGACUGGACACAAACACUGCACCUGGACUGAAGACAUAAACACUACACCUGGACUUAAGACAAAAUAUCCAUGUUGAAUGGGACUAGGGACCACUGGAACUUAAGUUCCUUCAAAAAACAUAUUCAUUAUUGACCUCUAUAUCGAUGUGUUAUGAUGAAAUCAUGUUUUUGAUAAUUGCAUUGAUUAAUGAUCAUGAAUUAAAACAUUGGAUUGACCUCGACC